rnacentral:rRNA from 1 species
AUUGAACGCUGGCGGCAUGCCUUACACAUGCAAGUCGAACGGUAACGCGGGGCAACCUGGCGACGAGUGGCGAACGGGUGAGUAAUGUAUCGGAACGUGCCCAGUUGUGGGGGAUAACUGCUCGAAAGAGCAGCUAAUACCGCAUACGACCUGAGGGUGAAAGCGGGGGAUCGCAAGACCUCGCGCAAUUGGAGCGGCCGAUAUCAGAUUAGGUAGUUGGUGGGGUAAAGGCUCACCAAGCCGACGAUCUGUAGCUGGUCGGAGAGGACGACCAGCAACACGGGGACGGAAACACGGCCCAGACUCCUACGAAAGACAGCAGUGGGGAAUUUUGGAAAAUGGACGCAAGUCUGAUCCAGCCAUGCCGCGUGCGGGAAGAAGGCCUUCGGGUUGUAAACCGCUUUUGUCAGGGAAGAAACGCUCUGGGUUAAUACCUCGGGGUAAUGACGGUACCUGAAGAAUAAGCACCGGCUAACUACGUGCCAGCCGCCGCAGUAAGAC